GAUGAACGCUGGCGGCGUGCCUAAUACAUGCAAGUCGAGCGAACAGACGAGGAGCUUGCUCCUCUGACGUUAGCGGCGGACGUGUGAGUAACACGUGGAUAACCUACCUAUAAGACUGGGAUAACUUCGGGAAACCGGAGCUAAUACCGGAUAAUAUAUUGAACCGCAUGGUUCAAUAGUGAAAGACGGUUUUGCUGUCACUUAUAGAUGGAUCCGCGCCGCAUUAGCUAGUUGGUAAGGUAACGGCUUACCAAGGCAACGAUGCGUAGCCGACCUGAGAGGGUGAUCGGCCACACGGGAACUGAGACACGGUCCAGACUCCUACGGGAGGCAGCAGUAGGGAAUCUUCCGCAAUGGGCGAAAGCCUGACGGAGCAACGCCGCGUGAGUGAUGAAGGUCUUCGGAUCGUAAAACUCUGUUAUUAGGGAAGAACAAAUGUGUAAGUAACUAUGCACGUCUUGACGGUACCUAAUCAGAAAGCCACGGCUAACUACGUG
rnacentral:rRNA from 1 species